rnacentral:tRNA from 1 species
ACCUGGCUGGCUCAGUUGGUAGAGCACAUGACUCUUGAUCUCAGGGUCGUGAGUUUGAGCCCCAUGUUGGGUG